GACGAACGCUGGCGGCGUGCUUAACACAUGCAAGUCGAACGGAAAGGCCCUGCUUUUGUGGGGUGCUCGAGUGGCGAACGGGUGAGUAACACGUGAGUAACCUGCCCUUGACUGUGGGAUAACUUCAGGAAACUGGGGCUAAUACCGGAUAGGAGCUCCUGCUGCAUGGGGGGGGUUGGAAAGUUUCGGCGGGUGGGGAUGGACUCGCGGCUUAUCAGCUUGUUGGUGGGGUAGUGGCUUACCAAGGCUUUGACGGGUAGCCGGCCUGAGAGGGUGACCGGCCCCAUUGGGACUGAGAUACGGCCCAGACUCCUACGGGAGGCAGCGGUGGGGAAUAUUGCACAAUGGGCGGAAGCCUGAUGCAGCAACGCCGCGUGCGGGAUGACGGCCUUCGGGUUGUAAACCGCUUUCGCCUGUGACGAAGCGUGAGUGACGGUAAUGGGUAAAGAAGCACCGGCUAACUACGUG
rnacentral:rRNA from 1 species